CCUACGGGAGGCAGCAGUGGGGAAUAUUGGGCAAUGGGCGCAAGCCUGACCCAGCAACGCCGCGUGAAGGAAGAAGGCUUUCGGGUUGUAAACUUCUUUUAAGAGGGAAGAGCAGAAGACGGUACCUCUUGAAUAAGCCACGGCUAACUACGUGCCAGCAGCCGCGGUGAUACGUAGGUGGCGAGCGUUAUCCGGGUUUAUGGGGUUUAAGGGGUGCGUAGGCGGGCUUUUAAGUCAGCGGGAAAAAUUCGGGGCUCAACCCCGUCCGGCCGUUGAAACUGGGGGCCUUGAGUGGGCGAGAGGAAGGCGGAAUGCGUGGUGUAGCGGUGAAAUGCAUAGAUAUCACGCAGAACCCCGAUUGCGAAGGCAGCCUUCCGGCGCCCUACUGACGCUGAGGCACGAAAGUGCGGGGAUCGAACAGGAUUAGAUACCCCAGUAGUC
rnacentral:rRNA from 1 species